UACGUAGGGUGCGAGCGUUGUCCGGAAUUAUUGGGCGUAAAGGGCUCGUAGGCGGUUUGUCGCGUCGGGAGUGAAAUCCUACGGCUUAACUGUGGGCUUGCUUUCGAUACGGGCAGACUAGAGGUAUGCAGGGGAGAACGGAAUUCCUGGUGUAGCGGUGAAAUGCGCAGAUAUCUGGAGGAACACCGGUGGCGAAGGCGGCAUCCUGGACCGGCAUUGGACGCUGAGGCGCGAAAGCUAGGGGAG
rnacentral:rRNA from 1 species